rnacentral:misc_RNA from 1 species
AUGAAAAAAAAAAAUCUUAUUAAUAAUGCUUAACAGUAACAUUGAGCUUGAUAAUAGCUCUCAAAUUAGGAAUAUCCAUGAGCUCAGUUUGCAUAGUACCAUACCCCUUAACAAACCUAAAAAAGCCCGUCCCAGAAACAAUCCCAAAUUCCCUCUCCUUCAUUGAAAAUAUAUCAGAUCCUUGGAUUUCCAAGGUGCUCCCUUUAUGCUCCCCAUCUGUGAAAAUCAGAGAAAACACCAUAUACAGGCCCUUCCCAUCAAGCUGAGAAUUUAUGUAGGUCCCUUGAGCCCUACCAAUCUCCCUGGAUUCAAUACUGGGCCCUUCAGUAACUGGGUCAUCAACCACUGCAACCGUCCCAAAUUGUAGGAUGUGAAAGUUGGGCCCACUUUUCCCGGCGACAGUGAUUGCUGAACUGUCGAGGCCGGUAAAGUAGUCAUGCACAUAGACUACAAGGUUAGUUUGCUUUGGUUCUUGUCUAGGGAUGGUGUAGGCAACAUAUAGAAGAAUUAAGCUGGAGACGAAGAAGAGAAAAUUGGUGGACAUGGCUAUUUUUGGUGUUAUGGUUUUCAAGGGUUGAAGGACAAUAGGAA